GCUUGUUUAGCUCAGUAGGUAGAGCAAUUGGCUGUUAACCAAUGGGUCGUAGGUUCGAGUCCUACAACAAGCGCCA
rnacentral:tRNA from 1 species